CGUAGGAGGCAAGCGUUAUCCGGAUUCACUGGGCGUAAAGCGCGUGCAGGUGGCGCGGUAAGUUGGGCGUGAAAUCUCCCGGCUCAACUGGGAGAGGUCGUCCAAUACUACCGUGCUUGAGAGCAGAAGAGGAAGAUGGAAUUCCCGGUGUAGUGGUGAAAUGCGUAGAUAUCGGGAGGAACACCAGUGGCGAAGGCGAUCUUCUGGUCUGUUUCUGACACUCAGACGCGACAGCUAGGGUAGUAAACGGGAUUAGAGACCCCGGUAAUCCUAGCCGUAAACGAUGUGAACUUGGCGUUGGUGGGUUAAACUCCAUCAGUGCCGUAGCAAACGCGAUAAGUUCACCGCCUGGGGACUACGGCCGCAAGGUUA
rnacentral:rRNA from 1 species